rnacentral:rRNA from 1 species
AACGAACGCUGGCGGCAGGCCUAACACAUGCAAGUCGAGCGCGCCCUUCGGGGUUAGCGGCGGACGGGUGAGUAACGCGUGGGAACUUGCCCUUUUCUACGGUAUAGCCUCGGGAAACUGAGAGUAAUACCGCAUACGCCCUUUGGGGGUAAGAUUUAUCGGAAAAGGAUCGGCCCGCGUUGGAUUCGGUGGUUGGUGGGGUAAUGGCCUACCAAGCCGACGAUCCAUAGCUGGUUGGAGAGGAGGAUCAGCCGCACUGGGACUGAGACACGGACCAGACUCCGACGGAAGGCAGCAGUGGGGAAUCUUAGACGAGGGAGGCAACCCUGAUCUAGCCAUGCCGCGUGAGUGAUGAAGGCCUUAGGGUUGUAAAGCUCUUUCAGCUGGGAAGAUAAUGACGGUACCAGCAGAAGAAGCCCCGGCUAACUCCGUG